rnacentral:rRNA from 1 species
AACGAACGCUGGCGGCAUGCCUAACACAUGCAAGUCGAACGGGAUCCUAGCUUGCUAGGUGAGAGUGGCGGACGGGUGAGUAACACGUGGGAAUCUGCCUUUUGGUUCGGGAUAACCGCGGGAAACUGCGGCUAAUACCGAAUGCCCUCGAGAGAGGAAAGAUUUAUCGCCAGAAGAGGAGCCCGCGUCCGAUUAGGUAGUUGGUGGGGUAAAGGCCUACCAAGCCGACGAUCGGUAGCUGGUCUGAGAGGAUGAUCAGCCACACUGGGACUGAGAUACGGCCCAGACUCCUACGGGAGGCAGCAGUGGGGAAUAUUGGACAAUGGGGGCAACCCUGAUCCAGCAAUGCCGCGUGAGUGAUGAAGGCCUUAGGGUUGUAAAGCUCUUUUGCCAGGGAAGAUGAUGACUGUACCUGGAGAAUAAGCCCCGGCUAACUUCGUGCCAGCAGCCGC